UUAAUUUGAUGGUUUAGAGCCAAUUUGAUGGUUUAGAGCCUCACACUUAUAUAAACUUUUUCCUAUCCAAAAUGAGGUAGCUUAGGUCCCUCUCAAUCUGAUAUAAACAUGUUCCUAUCCAAAAUCAGGUAGCUUAGGUCCCUUUCAAUCUGAUAGGAAUACAAGAGGUUGAGUUUUAGAUGGGUUUGCAUUUAUCUAAACCCCAAAAUUUGAAUUAUUCCCAAUACAAUCUUAGGUGAAUAGUUAAACUGGGUCCCGCCCAUAAAUGGUCUGAUAUUAGACCAUAUAUUGUCUCUCAUCAAUAUAUAUAACGCACCGAUAGGCUUCAAUGGUACACUAGCUGCCGACCUUUCUCCUGGUUGAUU
rnacentral:lncRNA from 1 species